rnacentral:rRNA from 1 species
UACGUAGGGUCCGAGCGUUGUCCGGAAUUACUGGGCGUAAAGAGCUCGUAGGUGGUUUGUCGCGUUGUUCGUGAAAACUCACAGCUCAACUGUGGGCGUGCGGGCGAUACGGGCAGACUAGAGUACUGCAGGGAGACUGGAAUUCCUGGUGUAGCGGUGGAAUGCGCAGAUAUCAGGAGGAACACCGGUGGCGAAGGCGGAUCUCUGGGCCUUACCUGACGCUCAGGUGCGAAAGCGUGGGGAGCAAACAGG